CUUGAAACUAAUCUAAAGGUGUUGACAAGAGCUGAGAAACUUUUUUUUUUUACAUAUAUAUAGACCUGCUCUGGUGUCAUUAUCAAUUAAUAAACAUCCACCCCUCAAGUAUUGCUAUGGCGUAACCAAUUUGAGUUAUGGGCAAAGUGAGAGACUUGUUAAUGCCCUUCAUCAGCUUGUAAAAGUAGCCUUGUACGUUCAAAUUUGAUAGAAAUCUACUUUAAACUUGUUUUUCUACACUUUAACCUCUCUAUACAUCUUUGUAUGUGAAAUUAAAUUGUGAAAAAGCAAGCAGAGCUGAGGAAAUAAGGUAUUUCUGAUUGACAAAAUAUCUGAAUUGGCCAGUUGCAUUUUAUUGAGGCUGGCUAUACUUCAAGGAUUAUUUCUGUCAAGACUACACAUCAGAUAUAAUUGAUUUGUUAACAAGCAUGAAUCUAGGCUAAAUUGUGAUUUGAACAGACCAUUACCUUUAAGAAUUACUUUUAAGCAUGUAAAUACUACUAUAAUACAUUGAUUAAUUUUGUGAUGAACCAAAUUUGAUAGGAAAUGCCGGCUGAUCGACACAUGAAGCUAAUUGCCUACUGAUACUCUUGACUAUAUUUCUUAUUCAGGGUGUGAGUCAGAAAAUAUAAUUGAUAUUCUUUUUCAGAAGAUGCUGCAAUUGCUCUACAAUGAACUUUAUGAACAUCAUUUCAUUUAAGGCUGGAUAUAUUCUGUAAGACUUUGGAGGACGACUAAUGAAAGGUCCCAAAAUGAAUACACAGAAGAAUGAAGAAUCAGAGACGAUGAAACCAGCUUAAAGUGAAAUGAUGGUGUAUUUUCUCUUCAAUUGAACCUCAAGAACAUCAUAUCAGUUAAGGCUGAAUAGAUUCUAUGUAAGAAUUUGGAGAAUGACAAAUUAAAGGUCCCAAAAUGAAUACACAGAAGAAUGAAGAAUCAGAGACGAUGAAACCAGCUUAAUGUGAAAUGGAGAUGGUACGUUUUCUCUACAAUGAACCUUAUGAACGUCAUGGCAUUUAAGACUUGAUUGAUUCUUUAUAAGAAAUUGGAAAAAAUUACCAAUGAAAGGUCCCAAAGUGAAUACACAGAAGAAUGAAGAAUCAGAGACGAUGAAACCAGCUUAAAGUGAAAUGAUGGUGCAUUUUCUCUUCAAUGAACCUUAAGAACAUCAUAUCAGUUAAGGCUGGAUAUAUUCUGUAAGAAUUUGGAGAAUGACUAAUGAAAGAUCGCUUAAUGAAUAAGCAUUAGAAGAAUGAAAAACCAGUAAGAGAAACCAGCUUAAAGUAAAAUGGAUGUGGUUCCUUUUCUCUUCAAUGAACUCAGUGGUCGCAUUUCAAUUAAGGUAAAGCAAAAUCUACAUUUGAGAUGCACAAGAGAUGAUUUUCAGGUAAUGUUUAACUUGGAACCUAAUUAUGUUCAUUACUAGUGUGUAUCUUUUGACAGGCAACAAGUCUUCAUUGAUGCUUCUUUUCUUGUUUUGUACAGUUUUGUAUAUUAAAGUUCAUUACUGGUAGGAGGAGAUACAUGGAUAGUUGUAAUAAAGGAAGAAACCAGAUAGGUAUUGCUGUUCCCAUAUUUAUUCAGAUUAUGAACUAGAUUUAAUAUGAAAAGCCAGCUAAUUGGUACUUGAAGAUAAGUAUGUGCUAACAACCUAAGAUACACAUUUUGUGGAUAAAUGGUCAGCAAAUAAAUAUUAAUAAAUAAAUCUCAACAGUAGUUUUUUAUGGAAUAAAGUAUCAAACAAAAAAUAUACCAUCAUAAAAAUAAUCAAUCGGCUGAGGGCCAGGAUGACAGGAGUAUGUAGUUAUGAGAACUUGUGAAGACUCACAGGAAGGAAAUUACAUGCCACGAGUGCAUACAGCUUAGAGAGGAUUAGUCAGUCGGCAUUGUGUGACAUCCAUAUGUACAUGGAAAUGCCAGCUGAUCAAUCCAUGAAGCUAAUUACCUGCUUAUUCCUUAUGUUUGUGUGGGGGUGAUGAAUAAUUCUGAGAGAAUAUAUUUUGUAGUGACUUAUAGAAAGUGAAUGUUUUCUCUUAGGUGAUUAUUACAGUCCUCAGCAUUUUAAGUCGUGAUUUUGAUGCAUAAUUAAAAAUUAGCAACACAUGUUGCUCUCAUUCUGGAAAGCGGAUACUUAUAACAGCUUGUCCAGUUUGAUCGUAAUUUGCAUCGAAAAAAAAUAUAUAAUUCUUUUGCUACUGCUGCUGACCUCUUUAAAUAUGAAAAUGGUUUCAAAGGCUAACAAAAAUUCUUCCAUGAAAAUGGAAAUGAAAAGUAGGAUGAAUAUAAAAUUUGGUAAAUGAUCUUUUGUUUCAAUAUCAAAUUUAAAUAGUGCAUAUUCGAACCAAACAAAUAAGUUAUGGAUUAAUGAAUCUAAUUUGACAUGGAAAUGCAGACUGGUUGAUGCUUGUAAGAAAGAUAACUUGGAUCCAAUUCUCCCCAAAAAUUUAUAUGUAAGAUUCAAGAUUAGCAAACUAGUAGCAGGAGUUUAUAAAGAGUAUCUGCAGUUGAAGUGUAUAAUUCUGUUUAAGGGAAUUGUUGAAUUUCAUAUUGCAAAGCAUAGAAUUUAUAAUGAUCAGGAGGGGGGUGGCUUAUACUUUUUUUUUCUUCUUCUUCUUUUUCUAUGUAAAUGUUUUAUAUUAACCCAAUGUUGACAGGAAAAUAGUGCAUUCCCUUUGGCAAAGCUUGGUUAAAUGUUUCUGCACAUAGAUGGCUUUGCCAAUGCUUAGCCACAAAUUAGUCAAUUAGUAGAUCUUCCACUGUCACUUUUCCUUGAAAAAGCAGGAAAAUGCUUUUUCUACUAAUGUUAUCAAUAUUUGACACUUAUUUUUGGACACCUUUGUCACUAAAUGCUAAUUUUGCUGAGAAGAAACACAUGAUCUGAAUUGUUCCAAUACUUUUACAUGUUUGUGUACAACAAAGAUAGAAAUUUAAAACCAUCACUGAAAGAUAAUGUUUAGAUUAACUUCAAAUAUCUAUAUUUCCAAUGUAUAUGGAUCAUAGAAGAAAUCUGUGAUUAUAAACCUAAUAUGAGAGCCAUGCAGUUUGGCUGUGGAAAAGUAAUUUAGCAUAGGGGGACUGGAAUGGUGUUAGGUCAAGUAUGUCCCAGAAUAUGGCUGUACUCAUGACCAAAUUGAAUGAUGUCCUUUACUCAUGCGUGUCAUCUGAAGGGUAACAUGUCUUGGCGGUUGAUAAUUUACUGUGCGUUUUGCACAGUGAGUGUAUACUUCCAAUGGCUUUUUUCUCUUGUGAUUAUAACGAGUAUCUGAAAAAUCACUUCAUCUUUUAUUUCUUUUUAUGCUAUUCUUUUCUAAUCAAAACCUUUUUUCCCUUUAAGGAUUGGUGUGUAGCAGAAACUGAUUAAAUAGCCACCAGCUGUACAUUCCCACAGAAUGCUGCAUUUUCAACUUCCUGCAAAAUUGAUGUUUUGUAUGAUGUAGAUUAUGCUCAAUAAAGUAUGCAAAUUUA